rnacentral:misc_RNA from 1 species
UGAGGAUGAAAAGGUGGCUCCAGCAG